rnacentral:rRNA from 1 species
GACGAACGCUGGCGGCGUGCUUAACACAUGCAAGUCGAACGGUGAAGCGCCUUCCUUUUUGGUGGGUGUGGAUGAGUGGCGAACGGGUGAGUAACACGUGAGUAACCUGCCCCCUUCUUCUGGAUAACCGCAUGAAAGUGUGGCUAAUACGGGAUAUUCUGGGUCUGUCGCAUGAUGGGUCUGGGAAAGAUAUUGUUUCGGUGGGGGUUGGGCUCGCGGCCUAUCAGCUUGUUGGUGGGGUGAUGGCCUACCAAGGCGGUGACGGGUAGCCGGCCUGAGAGGGUGGACGGUCACACUGGGACUGAGACACGGCCCAGACUCCUACGGGAGGCAGCAGUGGGGAAUAUUGCACAAUGGGCGCAAGCCUGAUGCAGCGACGCCGCGGGAGGGAUGGAGGCCUUCGGGUUGUGAACCUCUUUCGCCAGUGAAGCAGGCCUGCCUCGUUUGUGGGUGGGUUGACGGUAGCUGGAUAAGAAGCGCCGGCUAACUACGUG